rnacentral:rRNA from 1 species
AUGUCCGCCCACGCCGUCCCCGGCGCCGCGGGAGACGCCGGCGCGGCCCGAGCCGACGAUGAGGCGCGCGCCCUCCUCCCCGCCUCGGUGCCCGGGGGCGACCACGGCGACUCCGGCAGCAGCAGCGGCGGCGAAGAGGAGGAGGACCUCGAGGAGCGCGCGUUCGAGGCGUCCGAGAAGGUCCUCGUCUCCAUCUCGGACGACCCAGACGCGGACGCCGACCUGGAGGCGCAGCUCGCCUCGUCCUCGGGGUCGCCGCCCUUCUCGUGGCGGAAGCUCUGGCUCUUCACGGGGCCCGGCUUCCUGAUGAGCAUCGCGUUCUUGGACCCGGGCAACCUCGAGGGGGACCUCCAGGCCGGUGCCGCGGCUGGGGACACGCUGCUGUGGCUGCUCAUGUGGGCCACCGCCAUGGGACUCCUCGUGCAGCUCCUCGCCGCGCGCCUCGGAGUCGCCACCGGCCGGCACCUCGCCGAGCUAUGCCGCGACGAGUACCCUGACUGGGCACGCCGCGCGCUCUGGCUCAUGGCCGAGGUCGCCAUGGUCGGCGCUGACAUCCAGGAGGUCAUUGGCAGCGCGAUCGCCAUCAAGAUCCUUAGCAAUGGGUAUCUGCCGCUCUGGGCCGGCGUUGUCAUCACCGCCUUGGAUUGUUUCAUUUUCCUUUCUCUUGAGAACUAUGGUGUGAGGAAACUGGAAGCUGUAUUUGCAGUUUUGAUUGCAACAAUGGCAGUGUCCUUUGCAUGGAUGUUCACUGAUACCAAGCCCAAUGGGAAGGACCUGUUAAUUGGUAUUUUGGUUCCAAAAUUGAGCUCUAAGACAAUUAGACAAGCAGUUGGGGUUGUUGGCUGUGUUAUUAUGCCCCACAACGUGUUCCUCCAUUCAGCGCUUGUGCAAUCGAGGAAAAUAGACCCAAAAAAGGAGUACCAAGUCCGUGAAGCAUUGAGAUACUACUCAAUAGAGUCAACGGUUGCACUGGCUAUAUCAUUCAUGAUAAAUCUCUUUGUCACAACUGUUUUCGCUAAAGGAUUCUAUGGUAGUAAAGAAGCCGGCAGUAUCGGCCUCGAAAAUGCUGGGCAAUAUCUACAAGAGAAGUUUGGUGGCGGCUUUUUACCUAUCCUCUACAUUUGGGGGAUUGGGCUAUUAGCCGCCGGUCAGAGUAGCACAAUAACAGGAACGUAUGCUGGACAGUUUAUAAUGGGUGGGUUCCUAAAUUUGAGGUUAAAGAAAUGGCUCAGGGCGCUGAUCACCCGAAGCUUCGCAAUUGUGCCGACUAUAAUUGUGGCUCUGUUCUUCGAUUCAUCUGACGCACUUGAUGUUCUAAAUGAGUGGCUCAAUGUGCUUCAAUCAAUUCAGAUUCCUUUUGCACUGAUUCCUCUGAUAACCUUGGUAUCCAAGGAGCAAGUCAUGGGAGUUUUCAGAAUAGGUCGUAAAAUGCAAGCUGUAACCUGGACAGUGGCUGCAUUAUUGAUCACAAUCAACGGCUAUCUCUUGUUGGACUUCUUCUCGUCUGAAAUACGAGGUCCAUUGUACGGCUCGCUUCUCUGCGUGGCAGUACUUGCCUACGCCUCAUUCGUAUUGUACCUCAUUCUGCGGGGCACCGAAAUCUCCAACCAGAUGAUCGUGGCGAUACGCAAGAGGUUGUCAUGA